UCCGAGUUGACCCCGGCAGUCUCCUAUGAGUCCCCGGCUUUACCCGCUGGCAACACAGGACAAGGGUUGCGCUCGUUGCGGGACUUAACCCAACAUCUCACGACACGAGCUGACGACAACCAUGCACCACCUGUGUAGCGCCCCGAAGGACACCGUAUCUCUACGGCUUUUCGCUACAUGUCAAGCCUAGGUAAGGUUCUGCGCGUUGCAUCGAAUUAAACCACACGCUCCGCUGCUUGUGCGGGCCCCCGUCAAUUCCUUUGAGUUUUAGCCUUGCGGCCGUACUCCCCAGGCGGGACACUUAAUGCGUUAGCUUCGGCACGGGAGGAGUCGACACCUCCCACACCUAGUGUCCAUCGUUUACGGCGUGGACUAC
rnacentral:misc_RNA from 1 species